UCCCCUCCGAACCCUAAAUCCUCAGCCCUCACUCGUCUCCAGCCGUAAUCCCCCCCUCCAUGCGAAAUCACACCAGCCAUUAGCCAUCUGACCUCGAAUCCCCCAUGGGUCUUCGAUCCAUCUCCUUCUCCCUGCAUUUCUCAGCUUCUUCUCUUUCUGCUUCAAUGCCUUCUUCGCUUUCCUUCCUUUGGUGUUGCUGGGUCUUCAUUUGUAAAAGAGGACUAGGGUUUCGCCGCGCCAGCAGAGUUGGCAGAUGACGACAAGCAAGACAGGGACUCUGCAGCGCCCCCGAUUUCAUAUCGCGGGUCGCGAAUGAUGCAUCCGUCUAUGGGAAAUCUCCGAUGCUAUCCGCGCCAUCUUUGUUUCUGCGUAAGUUGGGUGGAGUGUUUCGCCUCGUGAACAGAAAAAAUCAGCAUAAUUUUUUUUUAGCAUAUGACGAUAAGCAAGACAGGGACUCUGCAGCGCUCCUGAUUUCAAAUCGGGGGCGCGGAUGAUGCAUCCGUCUAGGGGAAUCUCCGAUGCUAUUUUCACUUCACUUGCUUGUUCUUGCAUUUUUGGUUUGCCCUUUUGUUCUUUUGAUUUAGCUGCCUGUAGCAGCGUUCAAUACAGUAUGAACAUUUCACAAUGAAUUCCUUUUAACUUGGCACCUCGUUGUUGCACUGAACUGCCAGCCUGAUGAUUAUCCUUGAGAACGGAGAUCUGAAUCCAUUUCUCCGUUGAAGCCCGCUUGGUCGCCGUGCUUGACCUGUCAUGGCGUUUGUUUCUUGGCUGGGUUUCUCUCAGGAGUAAAUUGCAAAACCCCCAACAUGCAAGAUGCAUGCAUGCAUGCAUCUCGCGCACACACACACACAUACAUACGCACGAAGCAGGCUGAAUGGGCUCCGGGAAUGGAUGUGUAGAAGCAAAAGUUAUGAAGGCUUUGGCAGAUCGGGUGAAUGCCCCCACUAGAUUCAUGGUAUACUUGUUUAAGUAGUGUUUGGUAUCAGUUUGAGGCUGCCCACCUUUAAUGCCUGGUGGUUUGCUGUAGACAUCAUCAUGCGAAUAUUUAUUUGGAUCUGAACAUAACUUAUGUGUGAAUUGUAGUGCUUAUGUUUGGACAUAGCAAGAUUAGAAGAAACCAGAACCAAGGCCUGAGUGCUUAAGGAGUAUUUGUAUAUCAAAUAUGGAACCUCUGGCUAGCCUGAUGAUUACAUUACCUUUGGAUAAAGAAUAAAGUUCUGAGAUCUCAUCUCCGUUGAAGCUUGCCUAGCUUAGGCUGCUGUGGUGGAUCCUACUCCCUCCUUCCAUAAAUAAUGUAGCAAUUUACUCUUAGGAGUAAAUUGGAACAUACAUGCACAACACACACAUAUGUAUAUAUAUAUAUAUAUGUAUCUCUGAUCUUCCACCAACUUGGCUGGCUGGGCUCCGGUGAGUGUAUGAAGCCACAAAAAGUAUGAAGGCUUUGCAAAUCAAUAGUUCUUGGUUCUGUAAAAUUAUUCUAGUUGAGUUGUUUGGACUCUGCAUUAGCUAAUCUCAAAUGCACAGCUUCUUUUAAAUUGUUGCUUUUUCCUUGUUUCAUAUUGAUGUUUGCAGUUAGAUAUAUUGUCUUUGACAUUGGAGCAUUAUGAUCUAGCUGCCUGUUAAUUUAAAUGCACUUCCCUGUUGAAGCCUGCUUGGCCACUCUGGUGCAUUGGCAAUACCAAGGUUUUAUAGGAAUUGAGAUGCAUGUCAUCUCACUUCACAUGAUUUUCCUAAACUAUGAACCAAAGGAGGCCUUAAAUUCCUUUGACCCAGCUGGCUGAUCAAAAGAAUGCUCUCCAUGUGUUUAUAUAGCGUUUUCCAACUCUGAUUGCUUAACUGCCAUUUGGCUGUACUUUUGGAGGGUCAGUAGGGUGUUUCUGCAGUGCCCUGAAGUUUCUAUUCUUGUGAUCUUUUCUGCCAACUGAAUAUUGUUGCUCUCAUUGGUAUGUGCACCUUGAGAUUAUCUUGUAUAUGUCUCAGAGGUGGUUGCUGGUUUCUUGUGUUAAUUUCUUCUGUAGUACUUCCUUCUGCCUGCAUUUUUCAUUGACUACAGUUUAAGCAUUUUGGAAUGGAAAAUGCUUAGUCUUGAGGCAUUUUAUUGUUGAGGUAUGUGGUUGACCGAACUGCCAGCCUGGUGAUUAGCCUAAGAACUGAAGAAUGAAGAUCUGAAUCUAAUUCUCCAUCGAAGCCUGCUUGGCCGCUGUGCUUGUUGCCUUUCUUUCUUGGCGGGGUUUCUAUGGGAAUCUCUGAUGCUAUUCUCACUUAACUCCUGCACCAUCUUUGCUUUGUUUCUGCAUCAAUUGGGUGGAGUGUUUUGCCUUGUGAACAAAAAAAUUAGCAUAUGAUGAUAAGCAAGACAGGGACUCUGCAGCGGCUCCGGCUCAGAUCAGGGCCGCGAAUGAUGCAUUCGUCUAGGGGAAUCUCUGAUGCUAAUCUAAAUUCACAGAAUCUAAGGUCUUUGCCUGAAUGGACAUGAAUACCACUGGUGUUUGCUAUUUGUAGCUGUUUUUGUAUGGAUUUUAAUCUGACGUUUGCUAAAUUUGUGUUGCAACAAAUCCGGUACAAACAUAAUUAGCAAAUGACGGUAAGCAAGACAGGGACUCUGCAGUGCUCCCGAUUUCAGAUUGGGGCCGCGAAUGAUGCAUCCGUCUAGGGGAAUCUCUGAUGCUAAUUUCCUUUUAGCUUUUUUCUCCUUGCAUUUUUUAUCUUGAUUUAGGUGCUAUUAACUGUGGUAAAUACAGUGUGAGCAUUUUCACAAUGAAUUCUUUUAGCCGUAGGCACUUCCUUGUUCAGAUAAGUGGGGUGCACUCAUUGAUUACGAGUCGAGGGACUAGUCGAGACUAGUCGCUAGACUAGUCUAUGAGUCGCAUUCUGGGUGUCGACUAGAAAUCUCGUGUAGACUAGUUCGCCGAGUCGAGGAGUCGAAGGACUAGUCGUAGACUAGACUAGACUAGUCGUGCACCUUGAGUCGUUCGACUCAAUUUUUUUUUAGGGAUUGGGAGGGGAUAAGUGAGCCAGCCACCCUGCCCCUUUCCCUUCAUUGCUUCUGCUCUCCAUGGAUCUGCACUCCUCUGCUCUGGCCCUCUCCCUCCACUGCUUCUGCUCUCCCUAGAUCUGUCCCUACGGUCUCCCUCCCUCUGCUGCCUUCUGGCUACUGGAUCCGCUCGUCCCUCAGGUUGCAGUAAGCAAGCAAGCAUACUAGCAAAGUAAUUUCUCCCUUCUCUUCUUCCCUUCUUCGAUUCGAUUUUUACCCCCUGCCCUCUUCCUUAUUUCGUUUUGUUUGCUUCAGUUUCAAGAUCCUUAGGUCUGAAGUGCAAUGUCUACGCCGGAAAUAUCUCAAGUAUUGUUUCAGCAGCUGCAGCUCAGGCCAAUGAGCAAUAUGAUCCAUGGAAGGAUCCUGCAAGAAGCCAACUAGGAGCAAGGCCCAACAUGGAAAUAUGCUUACUGGCCUAAUCUGCAGGACAAAUUGGCGCUCCAAUGCACUUCGUAUAGUAUAUACUAUUACAUAUUAAUACUAGGUUUUGGUAAUUGACUACUGCAGUUGUGAACUACAGUACCAUGUCGACUAGUCCAGCAGUAGUCUAGACUAGUCACGAUUAGUCUAUGAGUCUCAACCUUCGAACGACUCAUCGACUCGUCGACUCGUAAACGUUGGGUGCACUGAACUGCCAGCCUGAUGAUUAUCCUCGAGAACGGAGAUCUGAAUCCACUUCUCCGUGGAAGCCCGCUUGGCCGCUGUGCUUGUCGAAUAUCCUGGUUUCUUGGCUGGGUUCCUCCAGGAGUAAAAUGCAAAACCCCCAAAGUGCACCCAUCCAUUGAUGCAUCUCUCACACACACACACACACAUGUACGCAUGAAGCAGGCCAAAUGGGCUCCGGGAGUGGAUGUGUAGAAGCAAAAGUUAUGAAGGCUUUGGCAGAUCAGAUGAAUGUCCCCACUAGAUUCAUGGUAUGCUUGGAGAAGUACUAGAUGUUAGUUUGAGGCUGCCCACCUUCAAUGGUUUAAUGCCCUGGUGUUUUGCUGUAGAAAUCAUCGUGCCAAUAUUUGUUGGGUUCUGAACAUAACUUACCUUCAAUGGUUUAAUGCCCUGGUGUUUUGCUGUAGAAAUCAUUAUGGCAAUAUUUGUUGGGUUCUGAACAUAACUUGUGUGUGAAUUGUAGUACUUAUGUUUGGGCAUAGCAAGAUUAGCAGAUAUGGGAAUCAAGGCCAGAAUAUGUAAUAGUAUCUGUUUAUCAAAUAUGGAACCUUGUGUGCUUGGCCAGCCUGAUGAUUACACCUGUUCAUAAAGAAUGAAGUUCUAAGGUCUGAAUGCUCUUCUCAGUUCCGUUGAAGCUCGCCUAGCUUAGGUUGCUGUGGUGGAUCCUACUCCCACCUUCCCAAAAUAAUGUACUCCCUCCGUCCACAAAUAUAAGAUGUUCUAACUUUUUGCUGAAUUGGAACAUGCAUGCACACAUGCAUAUAUAUAUAUAUAUAUUAUCUUCCACCAACCUGGCUAGCUGGGCUCCGAUGAGAGUGCUUGGAGACACAAAAAGUAUGAAGGCUUGCUAAUGCAUAGAAUUCUUGGUUUUGUAUUAUUCUUGGCUUUGCUAAUACAUAGAAUUCUUGCACAACUUCUUUGAAAUAGUUGCUUUUUUCUCGUUUCACGUUGAUGUUUGCAUAUAUCUAUUGGCUUUGUCAUUGGAGCAUUCCGAUCUAGCUGCCUAUGAUUACCAUAGUGUGCAUUGUACUAAGAAUGGAGAUCUAAAUGCACUUCCUUGUUGAAGCCUGCUUGACCACUCUGGUACAUUGACAAUUCCAGGUUUUUGUAGGGUUCUGCUAGAGAUGCUCUUAACCUGCUGUUGCUGUUGCUGCUACCUCCAGCACUGGUGUUACUUUGGACGUCUAGGGGGGAGUGGGGGUGGGCGGUCCGGCUGGAGAUGCUCUUAAUUUCCUUUGACUGAGCUGGCUAAGUGGACUCCAGUUAAUAUAUUUGCUUUGUCCUUUGAGCAUUCUGGUCUAGCUGCCUGAUGAUUACCACUAAGAAUGGAGAUCUGAAUGCACUUCCCUGUUGAAGCUCGCUUGGCCGCUUUGGUGGAUUGGGAGUUGCUCUUAACCUGCUGCUGCUGCUGCUGCUGCUUCUUCUACUACUACUAUACUACUACCAUCACUUCAGUUCCUUGCAUGCUUGGAACUACUCAACCCUCCUAAACUCUUAAUUGCCUUUGACCGAGCUGGUUAAGUGGACUCCAGGGAAUAAGUAUGUUGAUGCAAGAAGUACGAAUGAAGGCUUGGCUGAUCAAAAGAGUGCUCCUGUAUGUUUUUAUAGCGUUUUGCAACUCUGUUUGCUUAAUUGGUCAUUAGGGUGUUUUUUGGAUUAGGGUGUUUCUGCAAAGCUCUAUUAUUCCGAUCUUUCUGGCAACUGAAUGUUGUUCCUUUUUCUGUUUGGUAUUGUCUUUUUUGGUUUGUGCACCUUGAAAUUUCCUUGUACCUCAGACAUAUUUGCUGAUUUCGUGUUUGUUUCCUCCGCCUGGUCUUAGUCUGAGGCACUUGUUGUUGGGUGUUGUUGGGUGGGGGUUGUCAAAUGAAUUGCGAACCUGAUGAUUAGCCUAAAAAUGGAGAUGUGAAUCCAUGUCUCUGUCGCUUCGCCUCGUGCUUGGUUCAUCCCAUCCUUUGUUUCUUGCCUGGGUUUCUCAGUAGUAAAUUGCAAAAACCCCAACAUGCAUGCAUGCACACAUGUACGCACAAAAAGUUUUGGCAGAUCGUUGAAUGCCCCCACUAGAUUCAUGUUAUGCUUGUUUAAGGAGCAUUUUAGCUUAGUUUGUGGCUGCCUGCUUUGCUUCCAUGGUUUAUUGCUUGAUGUCUUGCUGUAGAAAUCAUCAUGGAGAUAUUUGUUGGGUUCUGAACAGUUGCUGCCCUCCUUGCAUGCUUUAGUGCCUGUAUUUUGCUGUGGUUAUCAUGGAAAGAUUUGUUUGGAUCUGAAUUUUAUGUUUGGGUUUGUCCUUGGCCAGCCUUAUGAUUACCUAUGCAUAAAGAAUGGAGAUCUGAGUGCCUUUCGAAGCACACCUAGCUUAUGCUGCUGUGGUGGAUCCUACCCCCUCCAUUCCUAAAUAAUGUAGCAGAUUGGAUAUGCACAAAGCAAAUGGGCUCUGAGAAUGUGUGUGUAGAAUGGGCUAAAUGGCCAGCCUGAUAAAGGCCAGAAUACCUAGGCUUUCUCAGCUCCUUUGUACCUCAGCGGAGCUUAGGCUGCCGUGGUGGAUCCUACUCCCUCCAUUCCUAAAUAAUGUAGCAACUUGCUUUCAGGGAGUAAUUUGGAACGUGUAUGCACACACUCUCUCUAUAUAUAUCAGGGGGCGGGGGUCAGUAAACUGCCAGCCUGACGAUUAACCUAAGAAUGGAGAUCUGAAUCCAUUUCUCCUGUUGAAGCCUGCUUGGCUUUGAUUCAUCCCAUCCAUUGUUUCUUCGCUGGGUUUCUCUCAGGAGUAAGUUGAAACCCCAACAUGCACACAUAUACGUACAAGGCAGGCUAAAUGGGCUCCGGGAAUGGAUGCGUAGACUGUAGAAGCAAAUGUUAUGAAGGCUUUGCAGAUCGAUUAAUGCCCCCACUAGAUUGGUUUAGCAUCAUGGAAAUAUUUGUUGGUUUCUGUAGUCGCUGCAAACUCUUCUCACAGUUAAGACAUAACUUCUGUGUGUAUUAAAAGUACUUUCCUUUGGACAUUAGCAGGAUUAGCAGAUACGAGAAUCAAGUUAAUAAUAUCUGUAUAGUACUGUGUUUGUGUAUCUAAUAAGGUUAGUCAUAGUGGGGAGUAACUUGCUGUUAUGCAUAUGACACUAGUUUAUGUUACUGCCUUCAUAGACUAUGGGUAGUAUCAUGCAAGCCUUUAUUUGUUUAGAUGACUCAUUUUGCCUUUGGGUGUGUUAUGUUAUGGUGACAUAUUAUGUUACCACAAACACCUCUCAUUAACUACUUGCCACAUAAGCAAACUUGUCUUGGGGAGCGUUAUGUUACUAUCUUAGUUAGUCCCACUAUGGCCAGCCCAAGGAACAAUAUGUGCAUGGCCAGCCUGGUGAUUAACCUUUGCACAAAAAAUUAAGGCUGCUCUGUUGAAGCUUAGCUUGGCUUUGCCUGCUGUGGUGGAUCCUACUUCCAAGCAUUUUUCUCUUAGGAAUAAAUUGGAUCAUGCAACUCAGAUCAGACAUGUACAUACAUCUCAGAUCAGACAUCUCAGAUCAGACACCAGCCUUGUACAUACAUAUAUUGAUAUGUACAUACAUCUCAGAUCAGACACCAGCCUUGUUAGGCGGGCUCUGGUAAAUGCACAGAAUGCCCAGGUCCGUGACAAUCCUAGUUGAUGAAGUUGUUUGGACUAUCAACUUAUCUCAAACACACAACUUGGAAAUAGUUGCUAUGUUCUCGUUUUAUGUUGAGAUUUGCAGUUGAAAAUAUUGGCUUUGUCAUUCGAGCAUUCUGAUCUAGCUGCCUGAUGAUUUCCAUUGUGUGCACUAAGAAUGCCAAGCCUGUGGAAGUCUGCUUGGCCACUCUGGUGGAUUGGCUCUACUAUUAGCUUGCUCUGCCUGCUGCUGGGUAACUACUACCCUUUUUAUCCAUUUCGAUGACAAGUAUUUCGUGACGGAGGGAGUACAUUGUACCACUACUGCCACUCACCACCAACACCAUCGGCUCUUAUAUUUCUUUACGGAGGGAGUACUUCUCAAAUCUUUCUGAACUCUUCUGCCGAGCUGGCUAAGUGGACUCCAGGGAAGAAAUAUGCUGAAGCAAGAAGUAUGAAGGCUUGCAGAUUGAAAGAAUGCUCCAACUUGCCAUCCGCCAAUGCUUUAACAUUUUUUUGCAACUCUGCUGCUGAAUGGUCAUUGGUCUUUCUGCAAUGUUGAUUUACUCCCUAUUCUAUUUCUAUGUGUUGUUUUGGCAAAAUUGAUUGCUGGAUGUUCAUUGGUCCUUUUGGGGCGUGAUUUAUGUUUUUUUUUUUGGUUAUCUUCUUGAGCAAGCGAAUAUUGGUGCUCUUGCAGUUGUCACUGUCGUGUUUUUUGCCUGUGUUGCUGUGUGUGCUCGAUGAGAUAUCCUUUUGUACCUCUACCAAACAUUGUUGCUGACUACUUAUGUUAAUUCAUUGUGUUUUUAAAGUGUGUAUUUUUCAGGCAUUAGAUGGUUCGCCAUAUGGGACGAGGGUGGUCUGAAAGCAAAUAACAAUGUGAAGUUGUUGUGUCGUGGUAUAAAAACCAGAGAAUUUUACUCCAGUAAAUUUUUAGGCUGAUUUUGUAUUUGAUUCUUUGUAAAUGUGAUGUACAGUCUUGGCUUAUAAUGUACUUUGGUUUUAAAUACAUACUAUGGAUUUAGAUACAUACCUCCUACUUUUGUAGAUGGGUUUUCACAAAUGAGCUAUGAUCUAUGUGAUCAAAUUUCA